rnacentral:rRNA from 1 species
GAAUUUUGGACAAUGGGCGAAAGCCUGAUCCAGCAAUGCCGCGUGCAGGAUGACGGCCUUCGGGUUGUAAACUGCUUUUGUACGGAACGACAAGCUCUGGGUUAUUACCCUGGAGUCAUGACGGUACCGCAAGCAUAAGCACCAGCUAACUCUGUGCCCGCCGCCGCGUGACUACGUAUGGUGCACGCGUGAAUCGGAAUUACUUGGCGUAAAGCGUGCGCAGGCGGUGUUGUAAGACAGAGGUGAAAUCCCCGGGCUCAACCUGGGAACUGCCUUUGUGACUGCAAGGCUAGAGUACGGCAGAGGGGGGUGGAAUUCCGCGUGUAGCAGUGAAAUGCGUAGAUAUGCGGAGGAACACCGAUGGCGAAGGCAACCCCCUGGGCCUGUACUGACGCUCAUGCACGAAAGCGUGGGGAGCAAAC